AAGUUGUUUCCGGACAGUCUAUGAAAAGCUCUUGCUGGCCACGGAGGAAGUAGGCAGCUGACAAAAAGUUCUGCAAUUGCCUGUGCCAAACUGUGUAAAGCAAGUACUUACAUCAAUUGGGAAGAUAACGCUGUCAUUUUCCUACUUGUUCAGUCCAUGGUGGUUGAUCUUAAGAACCUGCUUUUUAAUCCAAGUAAGCCAGUCUCAAGGGGCAGUCAGCCUGCAGAUGUGGAUCUUAUGAUUGACUGCCUUGUUUCUUGCCUUCGUGUAAGCCCUCACAACAACCAACAGUUUAUUCCUGGUGCAGAAUUCACAUUCUACAUUUCACUAUGUGCUGGUAAAUUCACUCCAUCAAAUCAUCACCAAAUUCAGGCUCUGCUGGUUCUUCGUCAGUUAGAUAGCAUUGAUUUGUGGAAUCCUGAUGCUCCUGGAGAAACAUUUUGGGAGA
rnacentral:lncRNA from 1 species